GGUUAGGGUAAGGGUUGGGAUCCUGCUAACAUGUUUAACGCCGCCAAAUUAUGUAUGAAUUUUCCUGUCCCAAGUCAGGAGUCCGUUAUUCACUGGUUCUCGUUUGUUAAUGUGUUCCAUAUUUGUUUUUUGUUCAUUUUAAAAUAAAUACGGCUCUUAGUUUUCCCGUUUUACAUGGUCAUUGAGGGGUCUUUUAUAGUUGAGUAUGCGGUAUGGGCUUUACUCAUUGUUGAAGGCCGUAAAGGUGACCUUUAGUUGUUAAUUUCUGAGUUAUUUUGGUCUCUUGUGGAGAGUUAAUUGUCUCAUUGGCAAUCAUAUCACAUCUUCUGCGGGAUCCCAAUUGCGGUUUCAUUUGUUUUCGACAACUGUCGGUAUGGUCGCCUUAUACUUCAAAAGGAAUUAUUCAUACAGUCAUUGAUAAUACCAAUCAAAUAGUUUUCACAAGAAUAACAUGUCAGGUACCUAAAUGUCAAAUAAGCAUCGUCCAAAGAAGAGAAAACACUUGAUAGAUACUUUUAAUAUUAGGAACGAUUUAAAGGACAAUUG
rnacentral:lncRNA from 1 species